rnacentral:rRNA from 1 species
AAUCAACGCUGGCGGCGUGCCUCAGACAUGCAAGUCGAACGAUUAAAGCUCUCUUCGGAGAGUGUAUAGAGUGGCGCACGGGUGAGUAACACGUAAGUAAUCUACCUUCGAGUGGGGAAUAACAGUCGGAACGACUGCUAAUACCGCAUAAUGCAGCGGCAUCGCAAGAUGACAGUUGUUAAAGGAGUAAUUCGCUUGAAGAGGAGCUUGCGGCAGAUUAGCUUGUUGGUAAGGUAAUGGCUUACCAAGGCUACGAUCUGUAACCGGUCUAAGAGGACGGUCGGUCACACUGACACUGAAUAACGGGUCAGACUCCUACGGGAGGCAGCAGUC